rnacentral:miRNA from 1 species
GAAUGUAUUAGGUUGGUGCAAAAGUAAUUGCGGUUUUUGCCCUUACUUUUAAUGGCAAAAACCGCAUUAACUUUUGCACCAACCUAUAGCUU